GAUGAACGCUGGCGGCGUGCCUAAUACAUGCAAGUCGAGCGAACGGACGAGAAGCUUGCGUCUCUGAUGUUAGCGGCGGACGGGUGAGUAACACGUGGAUAACCUACCUAUAAGACUGGGAUAACUUCGGGAAACCGGAGCUAAUACCGGAUAAUAUUUUGAACCGCAUGGAUCGAAAGUGAAAGACGGUCUUGCUGUCACUUAGAGAUGGAUCCGCGCUGCAUUAGCUAGUUGGUAAGGUAACGGCUUACCAAGGCAACGAUGCAUAGCCGACCUGAGAGGGUGAUCGGCCACACUGGAACUGAGACACGGUCCAGACUCCUACGGGAGGCAGCAGUAGGGAAUAUUGCGCAAUGGGCGCAAGCCUGACGGAGCCACGCCGCGUGAGUGAUGAAGGUCUUCGGAUCGUAAAGCUCUGUUAUUAGGGAAGAACAUCUGUGUAAUUAGCUGUGCACAUCUUGACGGUACCUAAUCAGAAAGCCCCGGCUAACUACGUG
rnacentral:rRNA from 1 species